ACAGCAGCAGCCGCGGGAAUACGAAGGGGGCUAGCGUUGUUCGGAAUUACUGGGCGUAAAGCGCGCGCAGGCGGUUCUCCAAGUCAGUGGUGAAAGCCCGGAGCUCAACUCCGGAACUGCCAUUGAAACUGUUGAACUUGAGGACGAGAGAGGUGAGUGGAAUUCCCAGUGUAGAGGUGAAAUUCGUAGAUAUUGGGAAGAACACCGGUGGCGAAGGCGGCUCACUGGCUCGUAUCUGACGCUCAGGCGCGAUAGCGUGGGGAUCAAACAGGAUUAGAUACCCCUGUAGUCCCUGUCUCUUAUAC
rnacentral:rRNA from 1 species